rnacentral:lncRNA from 1 species
AGGCUGUGUUCCACAGUAAACAGCAGCAGUACUGGUUUCAGUUGUAUUGAUGCAGCCGAGCAGUGAUAUCGUGACAGUGCGUAGGUGGACUUUUCCAGUAUGUGACAUCAUCACAUCUCACCCAGUAACCACCGUCAGAGGGAUCUGACGCUCCGGCCGACUCUACACAGCGAGAUCGGUGACUGUGUGCACGGUUAUAGCCGGCAUUUUUUCACGGCCGUGUCCCAAUUCACUACCCGGAGCAGCGCUAGAGUAUUGGACCGUGACCUUGAUGACAACACGGGUUCAAAAAUCCGUGUGAGAAGCGUGGACAACACUGUUCUUGGAUGUCCAUCAAUAUGGAGAAAGAAAGGAGUACGCCAGUCGUUAACAGAAUAAAAGGAAAAACAGAUGAGAAAUACUGUUUAAAUGCCUGGCACUGUAUGAGUUUAGCGCUCCAUCAGAUUCAUCAGAGCGAGCCUUCAGGACCACCUCAGUCCUUCCUCGCCCAGCAGAGGCUCCAGACCCAGAGCAGGAGGGGGUUCAUCUCCAGACCCAAACUUUAAUAAUCAGACUCACGAGCUCAAGAGCUUGGUCUCCCUCUGCUGGCAGCUGGUGCAAAGUGAUGUGGGCACCUCUUCUUAUUCAAUGUUUUAUCUUUAUUUCUUUAUUUAAUUCAUUUUCUACAUUGUAGAUUAAUAUUAAAGACAUGAAAGCAAUUA